GACUAACGCUGGCGGAAUGCCUCAUACAUGCAAGUCGAACGGCCCUUCGGGGCAGUGGCGGACGGGUGAGUAAUGCAUAGGUAACGUGCCUUAAACCUGGGGAUAACAGAGGGAAACUUCUGCUAAUACCGUAUAAGGCUGUGGUUGAAAUACCAUUGUUUAAAGCUUCGGCGGUUUAAGAUCGGCCUGUGUCGGAUUAGCUAGUUGGUAGGGUAAUGGCCUACCAAGGCUACGAUCCGUAACNGGUCUGAGAGGA
rnacentral:rRNA from 1 species